CUGGAAUUCCAUAUACAAUCAAGAAUGACCUUGAAUUCCUGAUCUUCUUACUCUUAAAUCCCAGCGCAUUCCUCACAACCGACAGCACAAGGCUUUGUGCCAGGAGCUCCUGGAGAGGGGCACCUAACCGACAGGAGGCCGCGCUGGUACACGUCGCCCCCUGGUGUUCCUCUGAUGUCUUCGCAGCUACUUUGAAGGAUUUUGUGCCUGCAACGGAAGCUGUUUGUUCCACACGCGGCCCCUCCCUCUCUUCCUCCCUCCCAGGGAGAGAGCUACAGGACAAAGGCUUCCUCAGCAUAUACUCCAGAGGACUGGAGGUGGAGGGGGGACGCUGUGUGGAAAAGACCACCCAGCUCAGAGAUUCCUGACCCUGUCAACAUGGAUUUCUUCACCAGGAG
rnacentral:lncRNA from 1 species